GGCAGCCAAGUCUAACAACAACAACUCCGGGUGGAGAAUGCUGGAUGGGAGCCGCAAAGAAGUUGAUCUCUUCAGGCUUCUUGUCAACUCCGUUAGGGAGAAUGAUCGGUUAGGGGAAGAAGAGGAAGAUGACAUACUUGUCUCUUCACCUGAGGAAGAGCAACCUGAAGAACAAGAUGAAAGAAAAUACGAUGAUGACGGCUUGCUAAUCAUCAGGCCACCACCACUGGUGGAGAUGUUUGGCAUGGUGGAGCCUGCACCACCGGUGGUUUCCGAGGCGCAGAUAGAAGAAGAUACGAUGUGGGAAGAGGUGGCGUUUUAUACUAAUGCAAACGAAGUAGAUCUCCAGCUUCAUUCAGAGGCAAGUUCCUUUUUCUUAAAACUCAUUUUGCUUUAGAACAGCAGUAACUCUAACUUUGAACCUUUUUUUUACAGAUUGAGAAAGAGAUAUCAGCUGAUGAUAGUCCAGGAGCAGCUUGUAGACAAGGGAAUCAUGAACUUUGUCUAGAUCUUGAGAUCGGUUUAAAGUGCAUACACUGCUGCUUUGUGUUGAGAGAGAUCAGAGGACUAGAUGUAUCUGAAUGGGUCAGUUUAUAUAUCUUCUUUAAAUGAUUGAACAGUCUUAACUAAAAAACGUUUUGAUGUGUGAUGGUAACUCUUUCUUUCAUGUAGGGAGAGAGGAACACAAGUGGAAGGAGAAAGAAUGACAGAUCAGAAGAGGAAGAAAACAGCAACUUCAUUGGGAACCUUGAGUUUGAAGCUAACAGCAAUAACAAUUUAAAGGAAGGAUCUGAAUCUACUCAAGGGACUGUUUGGGAUAAGAUCCCAGGCGUCAAAUCUCAGAUGUACCCUCACCAGCAAGAAGGUUUUGAGUUCAUCUGGAGGAACUUGGCUGGUACCAUUAUGUUGAACGAGCUUCAGGACUUUGAGAACAGUGAAGAAACAGGAGGAUGCAUCAUGUCACACGCUCCAGGGACAGGGAAGACUCGCCUCACCAUCAUCUUCCUUCAGUCUUACUUGGAGUGCUUCCCUAAUUGCAAACCUGUGAUCAUUGCUCCUGCAAGCCUGCUUCUCACGUGGGCUGAGGAGUUCAAGAAAUGGAACAUAAGCAUUCCCUUUCACAAUCUCAGCAGCUUGGAGUUCACUGGGAGAGAGAACUCAGCUGCUUCCAAGCUCCUGAUGCAGAAGAACUCAAGCGCUAGAAGCAAUAACGAGAUAAGGAUGGUGAAGAUUUACUCUUGGAUAAAAUCAAAGAGCAUACUAGGGAUCAGUUACAACCUCUACGAGAAGCUUGCAGGAGUUAAGGACGAGGACAGAAAGACAAAAGGGAAACCAGACAAAGAGCUGGAAGAUAUCAGAGAGAUACUAAUGGAUGUGCCUGGACUGCUCGUUCUUGACGAGGCACAUACCCCUAGGAACCAGAGAAGCUGUAUAUGGAAGACACUGUCUAAAGUCAAAGAAGUUGAUCUCUUCAGGCUUCUUGUCAACUCCGUUAGGGAGAAUGAUCGGUUAGGGGAAGAAGAGGAAGAUGACAUACUUGUCUCUUCACCUGAGGAAGAGCAACCUGAAGAACAAGAUGAAAGAAAAUACGAUGAUGACGGCUUGCUAAUCAUCAGGCCACCACCACUGGUGGAGAUGUUUGGCAUGGUGGAGCCUGCACCACCGGUGGUUUCCGAGGCGCAGAUAGAAGAAGAUACGAUGUGGGAAGAGGUGGCGUUUUAUACUAAUGCAAACGAAGUAGAUCUCCAGCUUCAUUCAGAG
rnacentral:lncRNA from 1 species